AAAUUGAAGAGUUUGAUCAUGGCUCAGAUUGAACGCUGGCGGCAGGCCUAACACAUGCAAGUCGAACGGUAACAGGGAUCAGCUUGCUGAUUCGCUGACGAGUGGCGGACGGGUGAGUAAUGUCUGGGAAACUGCCUGAUGGAGGGGGAUAACUACUGGAAACGGUAGCUAAUACCGCAUAACGUCGCAAGACCAAAGAGGGGGACCUUCGGGCCUCUUGCCAUCGGAUGUGCCCAGAUGGGAUUAGCUAGUAGGUGGGGUAACGGCUCACCUAGGCGACGAUCCCUAGCUGGUCUGAGAGGAUGACC
rnacentral:rRNA from 1 species